AGACGAUUCGAACCGUCCUACGAAGAUUCAUUCAUAACCAGAUUUACUUGCACCAUGUUGAAGAUUACUUGUAAAUCUUUCUUCUGUAGUCUGCAUUAAUAAAUCGCUCUCUCCAGGAUUUGAAACCUGGAUUUCCUGUAAUCUGCAAGAAAUUGCAUAGUCAGGGGUUCGAACCCCAGACCUAAGUGUAGAAGCUUUUAAACCUUAACUAGUUAGCUACAGUGCUUCCACAAUGAUAAUCUCCUUUCUAAAUUUUAGUUUUUCAUUGUAGUUAGGACCGGCCCUAAAAUUUUGGGGGCUAUAGAUGUUAAUAAUAAUUUUAAUAAUUUUGGGACUGAAUUUUUUUUAAUAAAAAUUUUGGAGUCUAUGUAUAUAUAUUUUUCAAAAAAUUUGUAGGUUUGAAACAAAUAUUUUGUUGGCUUGGCCUAAAAUCGGCCCUGAUCGCAGCGGUCCAUAACUCCCAACAACGUGAUGGACUAUGCAGUCGCUGCUUCACUCCAACAUCGAAUUUGGAAACAACUAUCUUAUCAAGAGGGAGAACAUGAACGGUCGUUGUAAUAACCGACAAAUAGCCGUUGUCCAAACAAACAAUUUGAUCAACCAUAAAUAAAUCUAACAAUAAUAAAAGGAGAAUAAGCUCAAUGUUCAGGGUGUCCACAUAGGACUAUAAAAUUAGCCAAUAGGAAGCUUCCAAAUAGCCAUAUCGUUCUUUUGUUAUUGAAACAGAUUUUUCGUUGGCCAAUUCAUGUGGGUUCAUAAUAUUAAUAAACCACGGCCCAGUUUUAACCAGCCCAACCCUAAUUCCAAGCACUCUACGCUUAAGUCGUCUUGGACUCUCCACCUUCACGAUCAUUGUUUCUGACUUCUGAAAGCCAACGUUUAUGUGAAGUUAUCACCACCCACUAAAGCUCAUUCAAUAUGUUCUUUACACAUAUCUUAAUAAGAGAUUUUAUCCUUUCACCUCCCUUUCUUUCUCCUUUUAUAUAAACCCUAAAUCAAAACUUUCGAUAUAAACUCUACUUCAAAGCGAUCUAUGACCUCCAUAAAACACAUUGCACUGCGAACCAAAUCAUGAAUACCUGAAGAGCCUACACAUUUUAUCUAAAUCAAUCAGAGAAGUUUUUGAUAGCAAAAGAGUUACGGAACCAACUGAAAGGCAGGAAAAUCUUUGUGAAAACAUAGAACCAUUUGUGAAUUUGCUUGAGAGUGAACUAUGACGUUUAUGAAUUGUGGCUGGAUACAUGUCUGCGCAUGAGCAAACUCCUGGGAAUACAGCCUCGAGCUGUCUCUUAGACUCAACAUGUCGCUUAGCCUCAUCAAUUACCUCAUAGACUCUCACGCUUGCAUUUGGUCAUAUGCUUUUCACUGAUGGCCUUCCAGGUUUGGGAAAUCAAGAGGGAAGCAUCACAAUCCUAAACGAUCAUUCAAAACAUUGCUUGAUCAGUGUAACUUACGUCUACGUACAUUAAUAAGUCCAUAUAUAUUUAUUUACGCACACAAUGAGAAGCUUACGAAACGUGAGAAAGCUAUCAGGUAACUGAAGCGAAGCAAUGAUGCAAUAAUGAUAUGGUCACGGCGAAAUUGUUGGCAAUGAAAGUAGAUAUGACAGAUCCAGCGUGGGGGCAUGGCUGUUUGUAGAAUUCAAGCCGGAGUUUGCGCCAAAGCAGAGGCAACAUGGAAACAAAAAAGUAAAAAAACAGUUGUGCUUUCCCUCAUUUCCUUGCCUCUCCUGUGAAAACAUAGAAAUAGUUUUGGAUUGUGUUGUUUGUUAGUGUCCGUAAAAUGCAUGUUUCAGUUCAAAAACGCGCAUAGUGUAAAAUCGAUAUUGGCCUUUACUGGUUUAAAUCAGUACGGUAUAUAUGUCGUAGUUGUGCUUUAACAAAUGUUUCCGUAAAUAAUGUUAUAGAUCAUCUUCCCCACGUCAAAAGACUGGUUAUGUCCAAUUGGGAAUAUAUUUAUUUUUAACAUGUUGCGACAUAACGAAAGGUAUAUUCAAUUAAUACCAUUUCUAU